CAAAGUAGAGCUUGAUUAGUUAAGCAUUUCAUUUACACUGGAAGGUUGGCUGUGCAAAUCAGUUUGCUUUGA
rnacentral:tRNA from 1 species